rnacentral:rRNA from 1 species
AACGAACGCUGGCGGCAGGCCUAACACAUGCAAGUCGAACGAUACAGUGGCAGACGGGUGAGUAACGCGUGGGAACGUACCUUUCACUACGGAAUAGCUCAGAGAAAUUGGUGGUAAUACCGUAUACGCCCUCAGGGGGAAAGAUUUAUCGGUGAAAGAUCGGCCCGCGUUGGAUUAGCUAGUUGGUGAGGUAAUGGCUCACAAAGGCGACGAUCCAUAGCUGGUCUGAGAGGAUGAUCAGCCACACUGGGACUGAGACACGGCCCAGACUCCUACGGGAGGCAGCAGUGGGGAAUCUUGCACAAUGGGCGAAAGCCUGAUGCAGCCAUGCCGCGUGAAUGAUGAAGGCCUUAGGGUUGUAAAAUUCUUUCGUCAGGGAUGAUAAUGACCGUACCUGAAGAAGAAGCCCCGGCUAACUUCGUGCCAGCCGCCGCAGUAACAC